GCCCUGUUGGCGCAAUGGUAGCGCAUCCGCCUCCUAUUCAGAGGAUCAGCGGGAGGUUGUGGGUUCGAGCCCCAUGCAGGGUU
rnacentral:tRNA from 1 species